CCGGACUGAAAGACUCCCACUGCCUCUCCCUCCCCCCACGCCCUGCCCCAUCACUCCAAGAUCCCCCAUUCGGCCCUAAACUCCUCCCGGGCCUCCAAACCCCACCCCGGGCUCACACCCCACUUGGCCGUCCUCCCCCGUCCCACGCCCUCCUCCCCCCAGCACCUCCUCCCUCCUCCUGAGCAGAAACGCGGGAGCUGCAGGACCAGGUAAGGGUGGUUCUGGGAGCCUCUGGCAGCGAAUGGCUUUUGGGAAAAGUGGGCAGCUCUCCACCCUCUGAAAUCGUAAGUCUGUAUUGGAUCGGACCGAUGUCAAAGAUGGGACCUUUGGCGACUUGUAAGGAGACCUGGCCUUAAGGCGUUAAAGCGGUCCUAUGAGGAACUGCAAGAACUAGCAUGAAAAGGAGUUCCGUCAGGAUUGUCCUCUCCCCUGAGCAAUCGGGCUAGACUCUCCGACCGAGAGCAGGACCGGAUUUUUCCUUGUAAGACACGUCAGAAAUGCCGGGGAGCGCGCUUUCCCCUUUGCAGCGCUUGGGGGACGCUGUGCGAGAAAUGUUCUAAUUCAGAAAGCGGAGUUCGAGAUGGUGACGUGAUUGUCUGUGUGAACAGUCCGAUCCAACGUGCGCAGGUUGGAGGGGACCGUGGGGAGAAGGGAAAGCCCGGUUUGGCUGCAGCCUAGACUGUGGGAAGGGGAGGAAAGCAGAGUGCUGCUGGGAAGAGGGAGGCUUUGCAGACCCAACAGAGGACGUCAUCGCUGAUCCUGGAGGUGAUGGUUAUUGCAGUAACGGAGUAGGGGGAUGCCCUUGGGUCCUAUGUUGUAGGAGCGUCCCUGAGGCCGCUCAUUGGAGGAGCUGCAGUGGAGAGCUCUGUUCCAGGAGUCCUGCUCUAUCCCAAGUGAAAUGUGAUAAGAACCUGAAUGAGAGCGGCUGCUGUGGAUCUAGGAGCCUGAGGGAAUGGGCCCUGGGAGCCUUGG
rnacentral:lncRNA from 1 species